rnacentral:rRNA from 1 species
AGCAGCCGCGGUAAUUCCAGCUCCAAUAGCGUAUAUUAAAGUUGUUGCAGUUAAAAAGCUCGUAGUUGAAUUUCGGGGUCAGUAGAUUGGUCGUGCCACUGGUAUGUACUGGUCUCACUGGCUCCUCCUUCCUGAUGAACCGUAAUGCCAUUAAUUUGGUGUUGCGGGGAGACUGGACUGUUACUUUGAAAAAAUUAGAGUGUUUAAAGCAGGCUAACGCUUGAAUACAUUAGCAUGGAAUAAUGAAAUAGGACGUUCGAUCUUAUUUUGUUGGUUUCUAAGAUUGACGUAAUGAUUAAUAGGGAUAGUUGGGGGCAUUAGUAUUCAAUUGUCAGAGGUGAAAUUCUUGGAUUUAUUGAAGACUAACUACUGCGAAAGCAUUUGCCAAGGAUGUUUUCAUUAAUCAAGAACGAAAGUUAGGGGAUCGAAGACGAUCAGAUACCGUCGUAGUCUUAACCAUAAACUAUGCCGACUAGGGAUCGGAUGAUGUUAAUUUUUUAAUGACUCAUUCGGCGCCG